GAUGAACGCUGGCGGCGUGCUUAACACAUGCAAGUCGAACGAUGAACCGGGUGCUUGCACUCGGGGAUUAGUGGCGAACGGGUGAGUAACACGUGAGCAACCUGCCCCUGACUCUGGGAUAAGCGCUGGAAACGGCGUCUAAUACUGGAUAUGUACCGUCACCGCAUGGUGUGCGGGUGGAAAGAUUUUUCGGUUGGGGAUGGGCUCGGGGCCUAUCAGCUUGUUGGUGAGGUAAUGGCUCACCAAGGCGUCGAAGGGUAGCCGUCCUGAGAGGUUGACCGGCCACACUGGGACUGAGACACGGCCCAGACUCCUACGGGAGGCAGCAGUGGGGAAUAUUGCACAAUGGGCGGAAGCCUGAUGCAGCAACGCCGCGUGAGGGAUGACGGCCUUCGGGUUGUAAACCUCUCUUAGCAGGGAAGAAGCGAGAGUGACGGUACCUGCAGAAAAGGCACCGGCUAACUACGUGCCAGCCGCCGCGGUAA
rnacentral:rRNA from 1 species